rfam:Nitrospina gracilis 3/211 genomic scaffold, 2190_scaffold1
GGGGGCGAUCUGGAUUCGACGGGAGUAAGGAGACGAAGGUUGCAUGCAGGGGAUACCGUUGGCCCCUUAAAAAACGGUACAAAACAUAAUCGCCAAUGAUUAUGAAGUAGCUGUAGCUGCGUAACUAACCCUUACCGGCUACCGUCCCGUCCUCUUCGGUCCGCGAGGAGGAUAUGGACGUCAUCUCUGCGGACUCGCUGUACACUUCGCGUCUCGGGAGUGUGUGGUUAAACUUUAGAGGCUGGCUGGAAUGCAAUCCUGUUCGCGGGAGUAAUUCCGGUGAGAUCCAAAACGCGGACUAAGCAUGUAGACGCCUUUUGUUGAAGACUUCCGGACGGGGGUUCAAUUCCCCCCGCCUCCACCA